UUGAAGAGUUUGAUCAUGGCUCAGAUUGAACGCUGGCGGCAGGCCUAACACAUGCAAGUCGAGCGGAAACGAGUUAUCUGCACCUUCGGGGAACGAUAGCGGCGUCGAGCGGCGGACGGGUGAGUAAUGCCUAGGAAAUUGCCCUGAUGUGGGGGAUAACCAUUGGAAACGAUGGCUAAUACCGCAUGAUGCCUACGGGCCAAAGAGGGGGACCUUCGGGCCUCUCGCGUCAGGAUAUGCCUAGGUGGGAUUAGCUAGUUGGUGAGGUAAGGGCUCACCAAGGCGACGAUCCCUAGCUGGUCUGAGAGGAUGAUCAGCCACACUGGAACUGAGACACGGUCCAGACUCCUACGGGAGGCAGCAGUGGGGAAUAUUGCACAAUGGGCGCAAGCCUGAUGCAGCCAUGCCGCGUGUGUGAAGAAGGCCUUCGGGUUGUAAAGCACUUUCAGUCGUGAGGAAGGUAGUGUAGUUAAUAGCUGCAUUAUUUGACGUUAGCGACAGAAGAAGCACCGGCUAACUCCGUGCCAGCAGCCGCGGUAAUACGGAGGGUGCGAGCGUUAAUCGGAAUUACUGGGCGUAAAGCGCAUGCAGGUGGUUUGUUAAGUCAGAUGUGAAAGCCCGGGGCUCAACCUCGGAAUUGCAUUUGAAACUGGCAGACUAGAGUACUGUAGAGGGGGGUAGAAUUUCAGGUGUAGCGGUGAAAUGCGUAGAGAUCUGAAGGAAUACCGGUGGCGAAGGCGGCCCCCUGGACAGAUACUGACACUCAGAUGCGAAAGCGUGGGGAGCAAACAGGAUUAGAUACCCUGGUAGUCCACGCCGUAAACGAUGUCUACUUGGAGGUUGUGGCCUUGAGCCGUGGCUUUCGGAGCUAACGCGUUAAGUAGACCGCCUGGGGAGUACGGUCGCAAGAUUAAAACUCAAAUGAAUUGACGGGGGCCCGCACAAGCGGUGGAGCAUGUGGUUUAAUUCGAUGCAACGCGAAGAACCUUACCUACUCUUGACAUCCAGAGACUUUCCAGAGAUGGAUUGGUGCCUUCGGGAACUCUGAGACAGGUGCUGCAUGGCUGUCGUCAGCUCGUGUUGUGAAAUGUUGGGUUAAGUCCCGCAACGAGCGCAACCCUUAUCCUUGUUUGCCAGCGAGUAAUGUCGGGAACUCCAGGGAGACUGCCGGUGAUAAACCGGAGGAAGGUGGGGACGACGUCAAGUCAUCAUGGCCCUUACGAGUAGGGCUACACACGUGCUACAAUGGCGCAUACAGAGGGCAGCCAACUUGCGAAAGUGAGCGAAUCCCAAAAAGUGCGUCGUAGUCCGGAUUGGAGUCUGCAACUCGACUCCAUGAAGUCGGAAUCGCUAGUAAUCGUGGAUCAGAAUGCCACGGUGAAUACGUUCCCGGGCCUUGUACACACCGCCCGUCACACCAUGGGAGUGGGCUGCAAAAGAAGUAGGUAGUUUAACCUUCGGGGGGACGC
rnacentral:rRNA from 1 species